rnacentral:rRNA from 1 species
GUGUCAGCAGCCGCGGUAAGACGUAGGGGGCGAGCGUUGUCCGGAAUUACUGGGCGUAAAGAGCACGUAGGCGGGUAUUUAAGUCAGGUGUGAAAGACCGCGGCCCAACUGCGGGGUUGCACUUGAAACUGGAUAUCUUGAGGGCAGGAGAGGUCAGUGGAAUUCCUGGUGUAGCGGUGAGAUGCGUAGAUAUCAGGAGGAACACCAGUGGCGAAGGCGACUGACUGGACUGACCCUGACGCUGAGGUGCGAAAGCGUGGGUAGCAAACAGGAUUAGAUACCCUGGUAGUCCACGCCGUAAACGAUGGAUACUAGGUGUGGGAGGGAAAGAACCCUUCCGUGCCGAAGCUAACGCAAUAAGUAUCCCACCUGGGGAGUACGGUCGCAAGGCUGAAACUCAAAGAAAUUGACGG